GAGGGGUAUAGUUCUUCGGAGCUAGAGACCGGCGCACGGGUGCGUAACGCGUAUGCAAUCUACCUUUUACAGAGGGAUAGCCCAGAGAAAUUUGGAUUAAUACCUCAUAGUAUGUGAGAAUCGCAUGGUUUUCACAUUAAAGUCACAACGGUAAAAGAUGAGCAUGCGUCCCAUUAGCUAGAUGGUAAGGUAACGGCUUACCAUGGCAACGAUGGGUAGGGGUCCUGAGAGGGAGAUCCCCCACACUGGUACUGAGACACGGACCAGACUCCUACGGGAGGCAGCAGUGAGGAAUAUUGGACAAUGGGCGCAAGCCUGAUCCAGCCAUGCCGCGUGCAGGAUGACGGUCCUAUGGAUUGUAAACUGCUUUUGUACAGGAAGAAACACUCCCUCGUGAGGGAGCUUGACGGUACUGUAAGAAUAAGGAUCGGCUAACUCCGUGCCAGCAGCCGCGGUAAUACGGAGGAUCCAAGCGUUAUCCGGAAUCAUUGGGUUUAAAGGGUCCGUAGGCGGUUUAAUAAGUCAGUGGUGAAAGCCCAUCGCUCAACGGUGGAACGGCCAUUGAUACUGUUAAACUUGAAUUAUUAGGAAGUAACUAGAAUAUGUAGUGUAGCGGUGAAAUGCUUAGAGAUUACAUGGAAUACCAAUUGCGAAGGCAGGUUACUACUAAUGGAUUGACGCUGAUGGACGAAAGCGUGGGUAGCGAACAGGAUUAGAUACCCUGGUAGUCCACGCCGUANACGAUGGAUACUAGCUGUUGGGAGCAAUCUCAGUGGCUAAGCGAAAGUGAUAAGUAUCCCACCUGGGGAGUACGUUCGCAAGAAUGAAACUCAAAGGAAUUGACGGGGGCCCGCACAAGCGGUGGAGCAUGUGGUUUAAUUCGAUGAUACGCGAGGAACCUUACCAAGGCUUAAAUGUAGUUUGAUCUGAUUGGAACAGAUCUUUCGCAAGACAAUUACAAGGUGCUGCAUGGUUGUCGUCAGCUCGUGCC
rnacentral:rRNA from 1 species